CGACCUACGGGAGGCAGCAGUGGGGAAUAUUGGGCAAUGGGCGCAAGCCUGACCCAGCAAUGCCGCGUGAAGGAAGAAGGCCCUCGGGUUGUAAACUUCUUUUAUCAGGGACGAAGGAUGUGACGGUACCUGAUGAAUAAGCUCCGGCUAACUACGUGCCAGCAGCCGCGGUAAUACGGAGGAUGCGAGCGUUAUCCGGAUUUAUUGGGUUUAAAGGGUGCGUAGGCGGAAUGCCAAGUCAGCGGUAAAAUCGCGGGGCUCAACCUCGCUCCGCCGUUGAAACUGGCGUUCUUGAGUGGGCGAGA
rnacentral:rRNA from 1 species